rnacentral:rRNA from 1 species
GACGAACGCUGGCGGCGUGCCUAACACAUGCAAGUCGAACGGAACUCGGGACUUCGGUUCUGAGUUUAGUGGCGAACGGGUGAGUAACGCGUGAGGAACCUGCCUUUCAGUGGGGGACAACAGUUGGAAACGACUGCUAAUACCGCAUAAUGUGUUUUGGGGGCAUCCCCGAGACACCAAAGCUUUAUGUGCUGAAAGAUGGCCUCGCGUCUGAUUAGAUAGUUGGUGAGGUAACGGCUCACCAAGUCUGCGAUCAGUAGCCGGUCUGAGAGGAUGAACGGCCACAUUGGGACUGAGAUACGGCCCAGACUCCUACGGGAGGCAGCAGUGGGGAAUAUUGGGCAAUGGGGGAAACCCUGACCCAGCAACGCCGCGUGAAGGAAGAAGGCCUCGGGUUGUAAACUUCUUUAGUCAGGGACGAAGAACGUGACGGUACCUGCAGAAAAAGACAACGGACUAACUACGUG